rnacentral:rRNA from 1 species
CCAGGUGACAUAUAGCGGAGGGGAAACACCCGUUUCCAUCCCGAACACGGCAGUUAAGCCCUCCUGCGCCGAUGGUACUUGUCGGGCAACUGACUGGGAGAGUAGGACGUCGCCUGGU